rnacentral:rRNA from 1 species
UGUGGAAUAUUGGACAAUGUGCGCAAGCCUGCUCCAGCCAUGCCGCGUGAGUGAUGAAGGCCCUAGGGUUGUAAAGCUCUUUCACCGGUGAAGAUAAUGACGGUAACCGGAGAAGAAGCCCCGGCUAACUUCGUGCCAGCAGCCGCGGUAAUACGAAGGGGGCUAGCGUUGUUCGGAUUUAAUGGGCGUAAAGCGCACGUAGGCGUACUUUUAAGUCAGGGGUGAAAUCCCAGGGCUCAACCCCGGAACUGCCUUUGAUACUGGAAGUCUUGAGUAUGGUAGAGGUGAGUGGAAUUCCGAGUGUAGAGGUGAAAUUCGUAGAUAUUCGGAGGAACACCAGUGGCGAAGGCGGCUCACUGGACCAUUACUGACGCUAAGGUGCGAAAGCGUGGGGAGCAAACAGG